rnacentral:lncRNA from 1 species
CCAUCUUUUCUGCUGUUUCUUAACCAUCCUUUCCUUACCACGAGGGAACCAUUUCUCUUCUUGUUCUCUUCUCUCCUCUGGUCGCUCACCCUUAACUCCUCUGUCCUCCCUGGUCACUCACACCUCUCGCCCUUCCACCCAGGUAAGGCCUACUCAGAUGCUUAGGCCCACAGAGAUGCAAAACUAGGAGGCCUGUUACCCUGAGGCCAUGGUAAACAAUAGUAGCCUUACUGGCAUUAACAAUACAAUAGUGGGCUGGAGCUUUCCGGUGUUCCUGUUUAGUGAAACCCAAGGCUGGAUCUCAAAAUAUUCCAUAGCGGAAAUAUUUUGGUCCCCCACAGAUACUGGAAUCAUGGGGGGAGGGAGCUAGCAGAUAGGUGGGCUUAAGCACCCUGCCUCACCAUGCUUCCACUGACUUUUCUAUCGCAAUAGAGCCCUAGCAGUAACACCAUCAUCCACUCCAUAGUUACAGACAGGAUGCCAAGAUCCGGGUCCACCACAGUGAGAGGAUGGAAACACGCUGCCUGGAGACUCCCCUGGCAGCAUCUGUGACCCUGGCAGAGAGAGACAGGAAGACGAUGUAGAGGACGGUAGAGCCAGAGGCAGAAAUGGGUUAGCUCACAGCUGAAGAUGUCUCAGGGAGAGGAGAAGCACGGUGUCCCGGCCUGCAAGAAAAGGACACGCCUCAACAUCUGUACUUCCCAACAGCUCCUGGAGGGUGAGUCACUGAACUGUGACUAAGGCUGGGAUCAGGGAAAGCAAGAAGGACAUUGAUGCAGCCAGGGCCAGGGCCAACUGCACACAAGCAAAGGACCCAAGUUCUCUCUGUGUGUUUUCUACUUCUCAGCCAAGACCAAAAGUGUUGUGAGAACAGCAUUAGCACUGCCCUGGGCACAGACAUGGCUCUCAGUAGAUGGUGAUGAUUGCUGGGUAACUAUAGACUAAUUGAUCAACGGAGAAGAAGUGUGUAUCCCUCUCACCCUCUAGGAGGCUGUGACUCAGCAGUGACCAAGCUUAAAUACUGCAGUGGU